rnacentral:rRNA from 1 species
CGGCGGACGGGUGGAGUAACACGUGAGUAACCUGCCUUAGACAUAGGGAUAGCCUCGGGAAACCGGGAUUAAUACCAAAUGAAAUCACAUAUGCACAUGCAUAAAUGAUCAAAGCUCCGGCGGUCUAAGAUGGACUCGCGUCCCAUUAGCUAGUUGGUGAGGUAACGGCCCACCAAGGCGACGAUGGGUAGCCGGCCUGAGAGGGUGAACGGCCACAUUGGAACUGAGAAACGGUCCAAACUCCUACGGGAGGCAGCAGCC